rnacentral:rRNA from 1 species
GAUGAACGCUGGCGGCGUGCUUAACACAUGCAAGUCGAACGAAGCAUUUAAGACAGAUUACUUCGGUUUGAGGUCUUUUAUGACUGAGUGGCGGACGGGUGAGUAACGCGUGGGUAACCUGCCUCAUACAGGGGGAUAGCAGCUGGAAACGGCUGGUAAUACCGCAUAAGCGCACAGUACCACAUGGUACAGUGUGAAAAACUCCGGUGGUAUGAGAUGGACCCGCGUCUGAUUAGCUUGUUGGCGGGGUAACGGCCCACCAAGGCGACGAUCAGUAGCCGACCUGAGAGGGUGACCGGCCACAUUGGGACUGAGACACGGCCCAGACUCCUACGGGAGGCAGCAGUGGGGAAUAUUGCACAAUGGAGGAAACUCUGAUGCAGCGACGCCGCGUGAGUGAAGAAGUAGUUCGCUAUGUAAAGCUCUAUCAGCAGGGAAGAUAGUGACGGUACCUGACGAAGAAGCUCCGGCUAAAUACGUG